UAGAAGCGAGCGUGAGAGCGUAAGCAAAACACAAAAAAGGAGUCCCAGUUCGGAUUGUAGUCUGCAACUCGACUACAUGAAGCUGGAAUCGCUAGUAAUCGCGGAUCAGAAUGCCGCGGUGAAUACGUUCCCGGGUCUUGUACACACCGCCCGUCACACCAUGGGAGUUGGGAAUGCCCGAAGCCGGUGACCUAACCGAGAGGGAGGAGCCGUCGAAGGCAGGUCUGAUGACUGGGGUGAAGUCGUAACAAGGUAUC
rnacentral:rRNA from 1 species